UCAUUUUAUUCUGAAAUCCGUGUUCGUCAGUGAUCUGUUUGAUACUUGCCAGAAUGUUAGAAAAUUAGAGAAUGGUUUUGUUUGUCUAAUUUUCGGGCUCUAGAGAGAAAACCCAUGAUGGGUACCGUUUGUUUUUGUCAGUCGAGUGAGAUUAUUCACCAUUUGGGAAGAAUUCGUAAUAAUUCUUUCUGGGUUAGUUGUGUUAGCCUUCGUAGCAGUCAAAUAGAACUAAAAGGUGAAUUAUUUUUUGUUUAUUUAAUUUUUGAAUAUGGUAUGGUGUAUGGGAUUUCAGUCCAAUGCAGUCCAAGGGUUUGCCUAUGUUAUAUUUUCUUUUUCUGAGUUUUUAGGUCAGUUGUUAGUUAGUACUGUCUUAGUUUUGUUGGUUUCGAGAAUUUUCUUCGGUUUGGGUAGGAAAUUAGAGGCAGAAAUGAAUGUAAAAGAUGCCCCUGAUUCUAAUUAAGUUAUAGGGUUUUAACGUGGAUAUUGAGAUAAAUCCUUCUCUUUGAAGUAGAAUAUUUCAUGAGAACGAAACUGCUGGCUAAUAUCUGGAGUAUUAGUUCUGGGUCUAAUUCCAUUCGUUCCUUCCCAUUUUGUGUUCUGUAAUGGUCAAUGCUUAAGCUCUGCGUGUUAUUGACCUAGUGGCUUUGUCUGCUGUGCUGAGACGUUGUUGGAUGCUAAAUGAAAGUCAAUUUAUUUUCUUUGAAUGGUUAAGUUACAACAUCUUGGUUGGAUGUGGAAAUUAAUUUGAGUUUUCUAUUGCUAUAACACUUAUUGGCCUCUGGUAAAUAUGUGAAAUUGUUCCUGUAGUUGAACAAUCUGCUUAAUGGAAUGAUGGAUGUUUAUAAAAUGGUUAGAUGGAAAGCUGACCAUUUGUAGUUUCAUUUAUUUGGUUGAAUAGAUUGAUUUCCUCUAGGAAAUUUAUGUUUCAACAUGUUUUUGUGCAAUAAACUUUUGUUUACCUUAAAUUGUAUUUUGAAUUUGAAUAUUAAAUCCACAAAGCAAGUAAGGUUAAACUGAUCUUAGGAUUUUUUGAAUGGAUAAGACAUAAUCAUAUGAGCAUUAGAAUAAUAUAGAAUAACCUUGGGAGGUAGAUUUCUCUUAGAGAAGCUGAGAAAGAUUUAAGAGAUUGUUUAAGUUAUUAGCUGAUGAAGAUAUAGGGGAUUUGGUUAUGUUAUUGGCUAAUUUCUUAAAAUAUAUGAAACUUAUCUUGUAACUUGUAUACGUUAACUUUCUUGUAUAUCAUAGCUGUCUCUUUAGAAGACUAGAUUCAUAAUGAUGGGAAGGCAAGUAAUUGAC
rnacentral:lncRNA from 1 species